GCUACCAUGCAGUCGAGGGGUAGGGUUACUUCGGUAAUCUGAGACCCCCGCACGGGUGCGUAACGCGUAUGCAAUCUACCUUUUACUAUGGGAUAGCCCAGAGAAAUUUGGAUUAAUACCAUAUAGUAUAUUUGAAUGGCAUCGUUUGAAUAUUAAAGAUUUAUCGGUAAAAGAUGAGCAUGCGUCCCAUUAGUUAGUUGGUGUGGUAACGGCAUACCAAGACGAUGAUGGGUAGGGGUCCUGAGAGGGAGAUCCCCCACACUGGUACUGAGACACGGACCAGACUCCUACGGGAGGCAGCAGUAAGGAAUAUUGGUCAAUGGAGGCAACUCUGAACCAGCCAUGCCGCGUGCAGGAUGACGGUCCUAUGGAUUGUAAACUGCUUUUGUACGGGAAUAAAACAAACUACGAGUAGUUAAUUGACGGUACCGUAAGAAUAAGGAUCGGCUAACUCCGUGCCAGCAGCCGCGGUAAUACGGAGGAUCCAAGCGUUAUCCGGAAUCAUUGGGUUUAAAGGGUCCGUANGCGGCCUUAUAAGUCAGUGGUGAAAGUUUUUGGCUUACCC
rnacentral:rRNA from 1 species